GCCUACAACUUAGCGUUAAUGCACCGGAUCCCAUUAGAACUUUGCAAUUAAGUGCGCUCAGGCUAGAGUAGUACUAGGAUGGGUGAUCACCUAGGAAGUCCUAGUGUUUUAGAUG
rnacentral:rRNA from 1 species